GCCGUGUGAGAGUCAGUCUCCGCUCCCUCGCCGAGGCACCCGAGCCGUGCCUGGGCUGGAGGACCACGGGUUUUGCAGGAAAUGAGCUCCCGAUAAGAGAAGAAGCAGCACAGAUAGCCUGAUGCGCUCAUCGCUGGGAAGACGCAGCUUCCUUUGAACUCUCCGGGAAGAGAAGAGGCGGGAGGUGUUUGCAUGUGUCCACCACUCAGCCUUUGAAGCUGUCGUCUCCCCUACCUGAGUCUGGUUCAUUCAUCUGCACAGUUCUUGGUCGUAUUUGGGUAUUAUCUGAGAUUGAAUGCUGCAGUUGUUAAUUUGGGCUCUUUUAACAGGGCUUUAAAAAUAAGCCCAGAUAUCGCAGAGCGCUGAGAGAAGCAAGGGCUGACUACAUUGGCUCAUGACCCCUUCCCAGCCAGGAUGAGCUGGAAAAUGUCUCUUAACUCCAGAGAACAAGUCGUGUGCGCUGUUAUCCUGCCAUAAAAACAAAGGACUCCUCUUUCCGAGUGAUAAACGUUCACAGUUUCUGGCUGGAGCAGACCAACAGCUUUCAGCCUUUUUAUUGCAGUUCUUCAAAACUCUCGCAAUUCUCACUGCUCAGCACUUUAUUGCAGCAAUUGUACCCUGUGCUGCUGACCUGGGCCACUGCUGCUCUUUGUGUCCCCCCUCGAGGUGCUCUGGCGUUCAUCUUGCUGACGGCACUGCCUUCAUCCAGCUUGCCAAGUGUCUCCACAUCUGCUUUCCAACGCCUCCUCCUCACACUUGGGUGCAGCCACUUACCUGCUUAAAUAUCUCCCAAAUGCUCAUUUUGAGCAAAACAAUGCUAAUCCAGAGCAGAUGCUUAAGUGCAUCUCGGAGAAAAUUGCCCGUGGCUGCGGACCUGUCAUCGCUCCGCUCGCAGGCACGUUUUCCCUGGCUCAUGUGGUGACCACCUGGAGCUGGUGGUAACGCGCCCAGGGCUUCCACCUCCAAAAACCAACCUCUGUCUUUGUUCUGCAGCUCAUGAGAUUUCUUCCCGUGGUCCUCACACACAGACCCAUCUCCCAUAUUUCUUUGUCUGGACACCGGUGCAAACCUGGCUCCUUUCUGCCUGAGAAAUGUGUCGUGACCCAUCUCUCAGCCCCUUGAGCCUGGAGAAGCUACAAUUUCUUCUGUGGCUCUUAGCUUUAUGCCUCUCCCUGGGAGUUCUUCUUGGCCUGUGCAGCUCUGAGGGUCGUUGGCACAUUGGAAUUUCAGCCGGUGUCAAGGAACAGGUCUUGGGGAAGGUGGGAAGCCACACAGUCCCCAGUGUAACAGCAUGGAAAUAGCUUUUCAAAGGAUGCAGCUGGGAGUCCAGGCCCUCCAGGGCCAGGGGCAAAUGACAGAUAUUGAAAGCUGCCUUUUAAGAAAUGAGUUGGGUUUUAUUUAUUCCUGUAGCCACUGUAAGUCAAGGAAAAGGCCUUGUGUUUUUAAUCUGUAUAUUGGUUUGCCUUGUGCAGACCCAUAAGAAGGGUGGUAACUCACCCCCUGCUCCAUCCUGAUGGCUCUGCUGUCUCAGCAAUGGUUAGAUUCUUCCCUGAAGAAAGCAGAGGAAGUAGGAGAAGAGGUUUUAUAGGAAAUAUCUCUUCCCACUCUCCUAUUAAUAUACAUCAAAUUCAGGGGGGAAAACUGGAUGCAACAAAGAAGUCUCAGGACUGAAAGAGUCUAUUUGGAUGAAUCUUUCACGUCAGAGUUAUGUUUUUUGUCUUGCAUGAACAUCUGUGAUACUUUUGAGUGUGAUGUGUCUCUCCUGAAAAGAGCAGAGUGUAGUGACAUCUCAGGCAAGUGCUAAGACCAAGAGAAGUGGGCAGAUACUUUUAUCAGAUGUUUCCUUUGUAGACAGAAGUCUAAGAAAAGCCAGGCUUUGGCAAUGGAAGCAGAGGUCUGAGCCUGUCCCAGCUCCAUGUCCAGCAGGACCUGGGGGAACUUUAAACUCUGAAAGGCAGCUAAGUGACACACCACUGUUGUUGGGAAUCCAGUCCCCAGUGGCCUGCCUAGACCUCUACUGGGAAACUUCUACGUGCCCACAAAACCAAAAAAAGGCCAAACCCCACCUGGAAUCAACAUAACUUCAUUAUUGCAAAGUUCACAGUGAUACAUUUGGCAUCCAUGGCCAGAUGUGGGAUAUAUUCAGUCAUCUUUACCCAAAGAAACACUGGUGCUCUUGUUCUGGGCAGAACCUCACGUCAUGCCCUCCCCUGCAGUCCUUUGGUCCAGCACCUGGUCUGUGCCUGUGACUCCUUGGUCGUGGGAGCCACCUCCAUGGUGAAUGCAGCUCCUUGAUGCAUGCUAGGAAGUGUCAAACGAGACUUCAGUGCAGGGAAGGAAAACAUGCAGCUGGAAAAUGAGUCAGAAGGACUUUUCACCCAGGAAAAGCUCUGCUGGAGCUCUCUGUGGCUGGGUCUCCUCCCCACUUCUGAGCUGCUCUGGUUCCUUAGCAUCACUCUCCAACCCUCUCCUCUGUGCCAGUUUGCAGCCCUGUUGGUUGCAUCUUUGCACACAGCAUCUCAUGUGGCCAGAGAAUCCCCAGCAGCCUUGAUUUUUCCUGUGACCCAUCAUAUGGGAGAAAUUUAAGACAGCUCAAGUGGACUUUGUUUAUUUAUUCUGCACCUCGGCCAUCAGAGGCUGCCAGGGCCAUGGUGUGAAUUACACUAAAAUAAAUAAAUGCCC